GAUGAACGCUGACAGCAUGCUUAACACAUGCCAGUCAACUUGAAUUUGGGUUUUUAACUUAGGUUUGGGUGGCGGACGGGUGAGUAACGCGUAAAGAACUUGCCUCACAGCUAGGGACAACAUUUGGAAACGAAUGCUAAUACCUAAUAUUAUGAUAAUAGGGCAUCCUAUAAUUAUGAAAGCUAUAAGCGCUGUGAGAGAGCUUUGCGUCCCAUUAGCUAGUUGGAGAGGUAACGGCUCACCAAGGCGAUGAUGGGUAGCCGGCCUGAGAGGGUGAUCGGCCACAAGGGGACUGAGACACGGCCCUUACUCCUACGGGAGGAAGCAGUGGGGAAUAUUGGACAAUGGACCGAGAGUCUGAUCCAGCAAUUCUGUGUGCACGAUGAAGUUUUUCGGAAUGUAAAGUGCUUUCAGUUGGGAAGAAACAAAUGACGGUACCAACAGAAGAAGUGACGGCUAAAUACGUG
rnacentral:rRNA from 1 species